CGGUGCAGUCGACAAACCGGUACGCUUUCGACAGGCUACACAGAAUAACCACGCUAAACUCGCACCAGCUUAAACAUAGCUGAACCUCACUAUUGCUCAGACUUUAACUAGCAGACAUAGAAAGAAGAGAUAAAGGAAAUGUUUUCCUGUGUGUGUUUAAACUCAAAGGCAGACCCUGUUUAAAUAAUAGAGGCCAAGUAAUUUAGGCCUCAUAUUAUUUAAAGGAUCUUAACCACUCAUUAAUUUGUGGUAAAGGUUAAAUCACCACAUAAUUAAUGAGUGACUUGCAUUUUU